UAUGGGCUUGGUCAGCCGUACAAAAAGAUUGAAUCAAGCCAAGUGGAGGCGACCAGAUUUGCCUUGAUAUGGAAUGAGAUCAUCACAACUUUCCGAGAAGAAGAUAUCAUCAGUGAUAGAGAGCUUGAGCUCUUAGAACUGCCACCUAAUUGUUGGAAUAUCAGAGUUAUUCGCUGGCCGUGUGUGUUAUUGUGCAAUGAGUUAUUGCUUGCUCUCAAUCAGGCAAUAGAGCUGGCAGAUGCACCUGACAGGUGGAUUUGGUUAAAAAUUAGCAAUAAUGAGUAUAGGCGGUGUGCUGUAAUUGAAGUCUACGAUAGCAUUAAGUAUUUGCUUCUCACAGUUGUCAGACAGGGAACAGAAGAAUAUUCAAUUGUUCUAAAAAUUUUUGAAGAGAUAGACAACAGCAUUCAGUUCGAGAAGGUCACUGAGGCUUACAAUUUGGAAAUACUAGAACGUCUUCAUUCCAAGUUAAUAUCACUUGUUGAUCUUUUGAAGGGACAGAAGAAGGACAUAAGUAAGAUGGUCAAUAUAUUACAGGCAUUAUAUGAGCUUUAUGUUCGAGUACUCCCAAGGGGACCGAAAAAAUCAAUUGAGCAAUUGAGGCAGAAAGGUCUAGCCCCAGAGAGUCAAUUGAGCAAUGAUGAAUUACUCUUUGAGAAUGCUAUUCAGUUUCCAGAUACUGAAGAUGAAUUAUUCAACAGGCAUUUACGGCGUUUGCACACAAUUCUUACCUCCAAAGAUUCCCUGAUUUUGUUUUUGCAGGCUAGUCUAAUUGUUGCUUGGGAUGGUACUGACCAUCCGUGGCAGGCAUUGAAGAAACGUGAUGUACAGGUUGAGUUGUUGACAUGUUUUAUCACCUGGGGUGGGCUUAGAUUUCUACAGUCUAUUCUUGAUGCUGGGACUCAGUAUAGUUUGGUUUCGAGGGACACAAUGUUGCUAGGGGUCAGGAUGGUGUUAAAAAGUGUGGUUGCUUUGACAUGGACUGUUGUGUUCGGAGUGUUCUAUGGGAGGAUAUGGAGCGCAAAGAAUUCUGCUGGGUCAUGGUCUGAUGAGGCGAAUAGUAGAAUUGUGACCUUUCUUGAGGCUGUCUUUGUGUUUGUUAUCCCUGAGUUGCUGGCUUUGGUGUUUUUUGUACUUCCUUGGAUUAGGAAUGCCCUUGAGGAAUUGGACUGGAGUAUUUUGUAUGUGUUCACAUGGUGGUUUCAUACUCGGAUUUUUGUGGGGCGUGGGCUGAGGGAAGGGCUUGUUAAUAACGUUAAGUAUACCUUGUUUUGGAUUGCAGUAUUGACUUCAAAAUUUAUAUUCAGCUAUUUCCUUCAAAUCAAGCCAAUGGUUACUCCAACAAGGUUUCUACUGAAUCUUAGAAACGUGACUUAUAAUUGGCAUGAAUUUUUUGGUAGUAGUAACAGAAUCGCAGUUGUGUUGAUUUGGUUGCCAGUUCUUUCAAUAUUUUUUAUGGAUUUGCAAAUCUGGUAUUCUAUAUUCGCUUCAUUUGUUGGUGCAACAACUGGGCUGUUCUCACACUUGGGUGAAAUUAGGAACAUUGGACAGCUUCGGCUUAGAUUUCCAUUCUUUGCCAGUGCUUUGCAGUUCAAUCUCAUGCCUGAAGAGCAGUUGCUUGGUCCUAAAAUGACGCUUGUGAAGAAGCUCCGAGAUGCAAUCCAUAGAUUGAAAUUAAGAUAUGGGCUUGGUCAGCCGUACAAAAAGAUUGAAUCAAGCCAAGUGGAGGCGACCAGAUUUGCCUUGAUAUGGAAUGAGAUCAUCACAACUUUCCGAGAAGAAGAUAUCAUCAGUGAUAGAGAGCUUGAGCUCUUAGAACUGCCACCUAAUUGUUGGAAUAUCAGAGUUAUUCGCUGGCCGUGUGUGUUAUUGUGCAAUGAGUUAUUGCUUGCUCUCAAUCAGGCAAUAGAGCUGGCAGAUGCACCUGACAGGUGGAUUUGGUUAAAAAUUAGCAAUAAUGAGUAUAGGCGGUGUGCUGUAAUUGAAGUCUACGAUAGCAUUAAGUAUUUGCUUCUCACAGUUGUCAGACAGGGAACAGAAGAAUAUUCAAUUGUUCUAAAAAUUUUUGAAGAGAUAGACAACAGC
rnacentral:lncRNA from 1 species